UACGUAGGGAGCAAGCGUUGUCCGGAAUCAUUGGGCGUAAAGCGCGCGUAGGCGGCCUCGUAAGUCCGUUGUGAAAGUCAAAGGCUCAACCUUUGAAAGCCGAUGGAUACUGUGAGGCUAGAGUCCGGAAGAGGCGAGUGGAAUUCCUGGUGUAGCGGUGGAAUGCGCAGAUAUCAGGAGGAACACCAAUAGCGAAGGCAGCUCGCUGGGACGGUACUGACGCUAAGGCGCGGAGGCGUGGGGAGCGAACAGG
rnacentral:rRNA from 1 species